rnacentral:rRNA from 1 species
AACGAACGCUGGCGGCAUGCCUAACACAUGCAAGUCGAACGAAGUCUUCGGACUUAGUGGCGCACGGGUGCGUAACGCGUGGGAAUCUGCCCUUGGGUGCGGAAUAACUUCUCGAAAGGGAUGCUAAUACCGCAUAAUGUCGUAAGACCAAAGAUUUAUCGCCCAAGGAUGAGCCCGCGUAAGAUUAGCUAGUUGGUGGGGUAAAAGCCUACCAAGGCGACGAUCUUUAGCUGGUCUGAGAGGAUGAUCAGCCACACUGGGACUGAGACACGGCCCAGACUCCUACGGGAGGCAGCAGUGGGGAAUAUUGGACAAUGGGCGAAAGCCUGAUCCAGCAAUGCCGCGUGAGUGAUGAAGGCCCUAGGGUUGUAAAGCUCUUUUACCCGGGAUGAUAAUGACAGUACCGGGAGAAUAAGCCCCCGGCUAACUCCGUGCCAGCAGCCGCGGUAAU